GACGAACGCUGGCGGCGUGCCUAAUACAUGCAAGUCGAGCGGAACUGGGGGAGCUUGCUCCUUCCAGUUUAGCGGCGGACGGGUGAGUAACACGUGGGCAACCUGCCCUGCAGAUCGGGAUAACUCCGGGAAACCGGUGCUAAUACCGAAUAGUUUGGCGCCUCUCCUGCGGCGCUACGGAAAGACGGUUUCGGCUGUCACUGCAGGCUGGGCCCGCGGCGCAUUAGCUAGUUGGUGGGGUAACGGCCCACCAAGGCGACGAUGCGUAGCCGACCUGAGAGGGUGACCGGCCACACUGGGACUGAGACACGGCCCAGACUCCUACGGGAGGCAGCAGUAGGGAAUCUUCCGCAAUGGACGCAAGUCUGACGGAGCAACGCCGCGUGAGUGACGAAGGUUUUCGGAUCGUAAAACUCUGUUGCGAGGGAAGAACACGUACCAACUAACUAUUGGUACCUUGACGGUACCUCACCAGAAAGCCACGGCUAACUACGUGCCAGCCGCCGCCGUAA
rnacentral:rRNA from 1 species